GAUUGGCUUUUCCAGAAACCCGACACCCAAUGGGAAUGCGAACCGGCGCGUUGUCAGGAGUCUCCAGGCAGGAGGACCCGACACAGGUUGUGAGACGGAGAAGUGAAACCGGGGAGAUGGGGACUCCCCGGCCCUGGGCUUCCCCACCCCAGACACCGCCCUGGGGCCUGAGACCCUGAGAGGCAGGCGCAGGGACCUGGGACUUUGCCCCGACCCCUCACCUACUGCACGGCGCGCUCUUUGUCACACUGUCUCCCUGAGUCGUGGCCCAGGAGCUGUGUGAGUCAGUGAUUCUCAAACGCCGUGUUCUCAGGAUACCUAUACAGUCUCACAGAUUACUGAGGAUCCCAAGGAUAUUUUGGGUCUGUGGGUUAUAUCUAUCGGUAUUUACCAUAGUAGGAAUAAAACAGGUUGAGAAAUUCAUAAAUUCAUUUAGAAUCAUUAAUAACCCAUGGCAUGAAAACAAAUAUUAUUUUUAUGAAAAAUAAGUAUUUCCGAAAUAAACAGCAUGGUGAGAAGAGUGGUUUUGUUGCGUUUUACAUUUUUCAAGUGUCUUUCUUGUCUGUCUCCUUAGGACACCCCUGCAUGUUCAGAUUUGCUUCUGCAUUUAUUGUGUUGUUUUGGUUGAAAUGUAUGAAAAAAUUUACACACUUGCACAAAUAGGGCAGAUUAGCAUGUUUCAUAACCUUUUCAGAUACUUCUCUAUGUUCAUCUUAGAUACUACAUUAAAACUACACAACUACUUUCUGUAAUUUAUUUGCAAAGUGGAACGCGAAAUUGUAUCAUGACUAUGUCCUUCUCUGUUACAUUAAAAUCCACAGGCCCAUCUUGCACACUGAAUGGAUCUUGUACUAAUGCAUGACUUUUUUUUUUUUUUAAGGAAUCUGUUGUUUCGUGAUAUUAUAUACAUGUUCUAGUGUUGAUUAGACUGGAAUUGAAUGAUCAAAAAGUCAGAUUUGUUUUAAUAUUACCACAGAUCCCAACAGAAAAGUGUGUCAGGAGUGAGAAGCUGUCGUUUCUUGGUGGAUCACAGUUUUCCUAAAGUUCUGAUUUUCUCUUGAGAGCUGACAUUUGAUCAAGGCAACAAGUACUCUCAGCUGUCAUAUGUGAGUUGAUGUUCAUGAAAGGGCAUUCUAUUUGCAGGUAUGUAUUACAUCCCUAGACAAAGAACGCCAGGAUUUUCCUUCCUGUGUGUUUUCAUCUUGCUUCUUCAUGGUCCAUGAUGCCAGGUGAGGUUGUCAGGACAAUGAAACCAAACUGGAAGGAUUCUUCUGCCAUUUUUGUAGAUCUUAAAGUUGUACAUCAAAUCCGGGGCUGCUCACUUCACACGUGUUUAACCUGCCCCUGAGGUUCCCAACAAUGUUCCCAGCUCUGUGAUCAGCAGUGAUUUCAAAUUCAACAAUGUAACCGAGCUUCGUCAUCACAGUUAGAAACGGGACAAUGACUUUGGAGCAUGGCUAAUAUGACCUGGCUUUGGCCUCUCUCUCAGGCAUUGUUACUGCUCUUGAAAGCAUCUGCCAAGAUAUUCAGACAACCACUAUGGCGGUGCGGAAAGAUGGUGGAAAGAGGGUUUUUGGUUUUUUUUGUGGAUGGAAAAAUAUACAUGAAAUGUUUACAAUUGUGGAAUGAAGAAUUCUCUAAGCAUGGUCCAAUGAUGAAAACCCAUAAAGAAAGACAUGAAAUUUUCGAAUGCCAGCCCUGCACUCACAAAGAUACAAACAAUUUUCACAGACAAAAAGUGAGAGAGAAGACACUCCUUUGGGGGCCAUGGGGCAUCCUAAUAUGAAGGUGUUGGAACCUAUAAGGACAUGGAUGAGUGUUUUGGAGAGGAUCUGUGGAAGCUGGGGCCGACUCCUGACUGCGUGUUGUCAGGACGUGUGGGCGAUUCCAUGGUUGAGCAUCUCAGUGAAUCUUCUCUCUAAGCAGACCAGACCAGAGCGAGGAUAGAGCAGUCAUGGCAAAGGAGCGAUGUGAGCGAUUGCUCACAUUGGCUGACACAGGGAGAAUUUUCUGCGACAGGAGGUUGCUGGGCUCAGAGCUUAAGAGGACAUUAAGGGGCAAUGUGACUCACCUGCUCAAAUAACACUGAAGCCUAUCAUCCAGUGGACAUCUGGAGGCCUCCAGGGGCUCAGAAUCAGCUGGACUCCAGAGCUACAACCCAGAGCAAGGGUGACACCCUGGUGACGAGACACUGGCAGUGUCAUGUGGGAGAUGGGCAUGGAGCAGAAAUGACAGAGGGAAACCCUCUGCCACCUGGAAACCGUCUCUACUUGUGAAGUCAGUGGAACCCCUGCUCCAUGAGGAGCAGCCCCAGAGACUCUGACAGCGAGGGGCCCAGCAGCUGGAGCCAUGGAGAUGCCAUCCUGGAGCUCGGAGGUACAAGGACAUCAGCCAGGACUCAGGGCCCAGGCUUCUGCCUCACAUUUCCUCCAGGACCCACAUGUGUCUUCUCCCCUCUCCCCAGGCCUGCAGAACCCGGGCGUCUGAACACCAUGCCCAAGAUGACCAAGGGGGGCAGCUCCUGUGCAGGGGUCAGACCCCACCUUUUGGAAUCUGGAGGGUGGCCCCCCUUCCCUACCUGGAGCGCCCAGGACCCUGGUCUGCUGCCUCUUCUACCCCUUGGUGCCCCUUAGGACCAGGGACCUGGUAUCUGCAUCCUUCAGACCUGGCUUCCUGCCCCUGCAGACUGGGAAAUGACAAACUGCUUUUGUUGCAUCUACAGAUCCCACAUUGUCAUAUCUGUACAUGGUCAUUCAGGUGAAGGGAAUUCUGACAUCCCUUGUGAUUGCCUCUCUAAGCCAUGAUGACACAUGGGUUUGAUGUGUGUUCUCAUUUCCAAAUAUUUGGGGAUUUUCUAGAGAUCUUCAUGUGAUGGAUUUCUAAUUUAAUGUCACUGUUGUCACAGAGUAUAGUCUAUAAUUUGGCUGCCUUUACAUUUAUUGAGACUUAUUUUAGUUUCAGUCCAGGGUCUGUUUUGGCUGACAGUAUGGUUAAAGUCCUGUAAUCCUUACUUGUUCUAUUAAUGAGAGAGGAGUAUUGAUGGCUAAAUAUCAUAGUUAAUUUGUCUAUUUCUUUACAGUUCUGCCCCUUUAUGUGUCACCUAUUCUAGAGCUCUGUAAUUAGGUUCUUCUCCAUUCAUUACUUUUGUCUUGCUGUGAUGUUGACCUGUUAUCCUCCUAGAAAGUCCUCUUUGUCGCUGGUGAUGCUCCUUGUGUGAAAGUCUAUUUUGCUUCAGAAUAAAGCAACAUUCCCGAUUUCUUAUGCUUUUUAUUCCCUCAGGAUAUUCCUUAAUCCCUUAACUUUUUACCUAUUUUUGGUUUUAUAUUUCAAGGUUUUCUAUUUUACAUAGCAUAUAGUCUAUCUUGAUAUUUAUGCAGCCUGAUAAUCUCAAACUUUUGUUUAGAAUUUUAGUUGGUUUACAGGCCUGAUAGCAAGAACUGGCAGUACCAAGAAACUAUCAGGAAAGGAGAUCUACUGCUAAACAGAGUUCAGAAACUUCCAGAGUAAUUAAUAUGUAAAACCAUGUAAACAAAGGGUUUCCUUUAGAGAUAACUAUUUGGAAUUUUUAUAGCUUACUUUACUAGGUACCCAGUUCAACUGUAUAAAAUAAAUACUGCAUUGUUGUUUCUGUUAAAAAAAAAAAGAAUUUUAGUUGGUUUAUAUUUACUAUGAUUCCUAAUGUGGUGGGAUUUGGGUCUAUGA